rfam:Nippostrongylus brasiliensis genome assembly, scaffold: NBR_contig0000680
CCAACGGCCCUCUUUAGGGCCACAAUCACAUCGAAAACGAAUCGA